rnacentral:misc_RNA from 1 species
AAUACAUCAAGGGUUAAGCCCAACUCUCGAUAUUAACGGUUUUCUUGUUAUCUGGUUUUGUUUCCCUUUGAAAAAGCAAAGAGAAGAAACCAUGACCCAAAACCCACUUUACUGUUUAUUCCAUCUUUUUUCAUGUCCCCCUCGGCUGUAUAUAUGAGCCUGACAUUCCCUGUCUGUUGCAUUCAUUCCCAACUCAUCAUUCCAUUUGUAGCUUCCAAUAUCAUUUAUUCUUUUGUUUCUUGCACUUUUCUGCUCCCAUCUCAUCAUCAUCUGCAGAUUGUUCUUUUGUUUUAUAAUCCAUAUCAUCAUCUCCAAUCACUGUUCUUCAUGGAGGUAGUUUUUUUUAUUCCUUUAGUGCAGUGUUAUAUUAGUCUCAAUCUAGCUACCAUACUUACAUAUAUGGAUUUUAGAACUUCUAGCUUAGCUUAUUGCCUUUAGUCAAUUCAAAUGACCUAAUCACAUCAAUCAAGACUGCGUACAGAACCCAUCAACUUCUCUAACUAGUUUUAGCCAAUUGUCUUUACCCAAUUCUCUCUUUAUGCUCUGGCACUGAUUUUCUUUCUUUAUGAAUUUUUAGUAAUGCAUGUAAUACCAUUUUGCAGAGUGUUGAAUUGAAGGUGGAGAUGGUGGGCAUACAUGAGAAAAGACUCAGGAAGUCUCUGUCAAAAUUGAAAGGAAUAGAAAAGGUAGAAGUGGAUGCUAAUAGCCAGAAGGUGGUGGUUACAGGAUAUGCACAUAGAAACAAAAUACUUAAAGCCAUAAGAAGAGGAGGUCUGAAAGCUGAUUUCUGGUCUGCACAAAAUGAACUUCUCAACGCCUAUGCCUGCAGUACAAGCUAUGGAAGCUUGAGAUUCAACAACUUCAACUUCUUCUAAGAGCUCUUUUAUUUUUUUUCUUUUUUCUCUUUAGAUGGGAUUGUAUACCAAGGUUGUGCUUUGUUUUGUUUUUUUUUUUCACAUACUUUUAUUUUUGGGGUUCCUGAUUCUGUUUCUCCCUUCUCUUUUUCAAAGGAACUGUCUCAUGAUGAUACAUGCAUAGAGACUGUAUAAGAGUAAAAUUUCUUCUUUUUAUUUCAUGUCCUUUUCAUUGUAACAAUUACUUUGCUAAAUCCAAGAGAGAAUCAGUUGGAAG